rnacentral:rRNA from 1 species
CUAGCCGUAAACGAUGGAUACUAGGCGUUGUGAGUAUCGACCCUCACAGUGUCGUAGCUAACGCGUUAAGUAUCCCGCCUGGGGAGUACGCGCGCAAGCGUGAAACUCAAAGGAAUUGACGGGGGCCCGCACAAGCGGUGGAGUAUGUGGUUUAAUUCGAUGCAACGCGAAGAACCUUACCAGGACUUGACAUGUCGCGAAUCUCAGGGAAACUUGAGAGUGCCCUCGGGAGCGCGAACACAGGUGGUGC